rnacentral:rRNA from 1 species
UGCCGGAUGCUCCUACCUUCAUGCAUGGAUGGAUGGUUGGGAAAGCGUUAGCGGUAUGAGAUGGGGUCGCGUUCUAUCAGCUUGUUGGUGUGGUGAACGGCCCACCAAGGCUUCGACGGGUAGCCGGCCUGAGAGGCCGACCGGCCACAUUGGGACUUAGAUACGGCCCAGACUCCUACGGGAGGCAGCAGUGGGGAAUAUUGCUCAAUGGGCGAAAGCCUGAUGCAGCGACGCCGCGUGCGGGAUGAAGNCCUUCGGGUUGUAAACCGCUUUUGAUAGCGAGCAAGCGAGAGUGAGUGUACCUUUCGAAUAAGCACCGGCUAACUACGUGCCAGCAGCCGCGGUAAUACGUAGGGUGCAAGCGUUAUCCGGAAUUAUUGGGCGUAAAGAGCUCGUAGGCGGUANGNCACGUCUGUUAAGGCUGGUGUGAAAGUCCAU